ACAUAGAAGUUUUUUCUGCAAAGAAAGGCAAAUGACAUAUAAAUAAAUUCAUUGGAGCUUCUACUAGUAAGUUUUACUUUGCUGAACAGACUACCAUAAGAAUAGAGAAGAGCGAUAUUUACGCACCACAUCGAGGUAAACAUGCACUGCAGAAGUUCAAUCUAGUCUGGUAGAUGUCAUGUAACCAUAUGAAGUGUAGAGACAUACUGUAAAAAGAGAGAUAAAUCUUGAUGUCAUUGAUGGAUUCACUAAGGUGAGAAUGCAUGAAGUAUAUUUGUAAGAAAAAAUAACAACAAUUUACUAAGAAGUAUAUGCACAGAAAUAACAGCAGUUUAACAUACAGGGACUGAGUUCUCAUGGUUGUUGACACUAAUAAUAUCUAAG
rnacentral:lncRNA from 1 species